GCGAGAGUGGCGGAAUUGGUAGACGCGCUGGUCUUAGGAACCAGUAUCAUCGAUGUGUGGGUUCGAGUCCCUCCUCUCGCACCA
rnacentral:tRNA from 1 species